GGGGCAAGCGUUGUUCGGAAUUACUGGGCGUAAAGGGCGCGUAGGCGGCCCGCUAAGUCGAACGUGAAAUCCCCAGGCUUAACCUGGGAACUGCAUCCGAUACUGGAUGGCUUGAAUCCGGGAGAGGGAUGCAGAAUUCCAGGUGUAGCGGUGAAAUGCGUAGAUAUCUGGAGGAAUACCGGUGGCGAAGGCGGCAUCCUGGACCGGCAUUGACGCUGAGGAGCGAAAGCUAGGGGAGCAAACGGG
rnacentral:rRNA from 1 species